rnacentral:misc_RNA from 1 species
AUUUCAAAUUGCCCUGCUGAUGAAAAAUGUCGGGAAAACCAGAACUUCAAAAGAGUGCCGCCAUUGUACGGAUAUCAGAGGAGGAUAUCAAAUCGAUAUCAGAGGAUCUAAGGCUGAAACUCACACCGGAAGAGACCAGCGCCAUCUAUGAGUUCUGUGAUGGCACCUGUAAAGACUACCAGAGGGUUUACGAGUUGACUGCACCGACCCCCACCGUCAAAUACCCCAGAACCCCCGGGUAUAGAGACACACAGGACGACUCGUGGUAUUACCGAUGUGACAUUAAAGGAGCGGAGAAAGGACUUUUGGCGGGAAAAACUGUGGCCAUUAAAGACAAUGUGACUGUGGCGGGGGUCCCAAUGAUGAACGGAAGUAAGCUCCUGGAGGGGUUCGUGCCCGACAGAGAUGCCACUGUAGUGACCAGGAUACUGGAUGCAGGAGGUCGCAUUCUGGGUAAAUCUGUGUGCGAGGACUUAUGUUUCUCCGGAAAUAGCUGCACUUCCUCUACCGGUCCAGUCAAAAAUCCACACGAUCCGACAAGAAGCGCAGGUGGUUCUAGCUCGGGCUCGGGUUCUUUGGUUGCAAGAAAAGUAGUAGAUGUUGCUAUUGGAGGAGAUCAAGGCGGAUCCAUACGUAUUCCCGCCAGCUGGUGUGGAAUUGUGGGAUUGAAGCCGACCUAUGGUUUGGUGCCAUACACUGGCAUUAUGCCAAUAGAGAAGACGAUCGACCAUGCCGGUCCCAUGGCCAGGACUGUGGAGGACUGUGCCGCUUUACUAGAGGUGAUUGCUGGUUACGAUGACGGGAAUGACCCUCGCCAGUUCCCUGCAGUACCCCACCCACCCUACUCUAAACUGGUAAACGACGGGAUCAAAGGAAAGAAGAUCGGAAUUCUGACUGAGGGAUUUGUGGAUGUAGAAGAAGACUUAGCGAGGGUCGUCAGACAGAGGGCCUUGACCCUGAAGGAGGCGGGGGCGGAGGUGUCUGACGUCUCCCUCCCUAUCCACAACGACGGUUUAGCCAUUUGGACACCGGUAGCCUUUGAGGGGACCUAUCAAAUGAUGAUUAAAGGAAACGGACAUGGUUACAACUGGAAGGGUUCAUACGAUCUCCCACUGCAAGAGGCCUUGGCGGGGGCAUAUAACCUUCGACCUUUCGACUGCCCCCUACCGGUCAAAAUAGUCAUGAUAUUUGCUGAGUACAUGCAGAGGAAUUACCAGAACAAGUUUUACGGCAAAGCCCAGAAUCUAGUCCAGCAUCUGACGAUGGAGUAUAACAGAAUUCUUAAGGAUUAUGACGUCAUAGUCAUGCCCACACUUCCAGCCAAGGCAUUCAAACUUCCAUCCAAAGGACAUUCCGUAUACGGUUCGUUAUUCUUCUACCUGAACUAUCUCUCCCGGCCCAAUAACCAUAUUCAAAAAGGGACUUUAGUCAGAAUUUAAUACAAGUUUUGAAAUUGUUUUGUUAACAAGAACGAAACAAAAAUCAUUCGCCAUGUUUUAAUAUGUUUGUGUAUUAUACAAGCUUGCAACUUUUCUUUUGAAACGUUUUUGUUAUGAAAAAAAUCAAUCUUCUCAAAGUCGUUAAAGGGCUUAUGUUAUAUUAUGCUUAGUCUUAUUGAAAAAUUAUCCCAUUUAUCUUUCAGAGUUGCUUAAUUCGAGUUGUUAUGAUAUUGUUACUCAGUCAUGUAUGUGUGUGUUGCAGAGACUCUCAAACUGGAGUUGGACAUGAUCAGGAACACUGCACCGUUCAACGCCACCGGGCACCCCGCCCUCAGUGUCAACGCCGGCCUCAGCGAGGGUCUGCCCUGUGGGAUGAUGAUAGUGGGCAGAAUGUUGGAUGACCUCACUGUUCUACAGGUCGCCCGAGCCGUCGAGAAAACCUUUGGGGAUAAGCCUUAGUAAUUCGCAUGUUAUAUACUCCCCAUGUCUAGAGGGCAUUAUUGAACAACUUGGAUGUAUAUGCGGAUGUAUAUGCAUUUUUCUUGUUGAUAUCAUAUUUAGACAAGCUUAUAAAAUCAAAAUUAUAAUCAACUCUUGUUGAAUCCUUACAUUAAUGUACUGUACCAUAUUGUUACGUUUAUACUAUAGCGACAAUUUCAAUACAUUGCUGCUUAAGGAUACUUUUUCUGAAUUUAGAUAUAUUUGUGUAAAAACUCUUCAACAUUUACGCAAAUGUGUAGAUGUCUUACAUGAUGUACACACGUCUUUUCAAUUUUACUUUGCAUGUUAUAUAUAUUGUAUUUUUGCCGUUUAGCAUUACGUGAACCUGUAGAUACACAUUUUUGUGGGGUUGCCUUAAAUAUUACCCAUAACUCUAUAUUCACUUUGCGAAUGUCAAAAAUGUGUUUAUUUCCAUUUGGAUAUAUUUCUUUACAUUUUCAACUGUCUUUUUGUCUGUGAUUACAUUACGAAUCAAGUUUGAACCCAAUAACUCCAUUAAACAUGAGUGGCACAAAAUGGGCGUGUCUCAUACCAUAACCGACGAACGGUAUUGGCUGCACCGCGUAGUAAUACACAGCAUGUGCUACGUGACAAAAUAGGGGUUUUAAAGUGUAUGAUUUGAAAAUAAUAUGAAUAUAAGUAAUAAGGAAUCGUUCUUUGGAUAUUAUGAGGUGAUAAUUUCGGUCGGAGCGUUGUCAAAUCUAUAAUAAAGCCUAUCGGGCUUUAUUGGAUUUGACCACACCCCGAUCGUUAUUAUCACCUCAUAUUAUUCAAAGAAUGAUUCCUUAUUACUUAAAUAACGACAUACCGUGUUUAUUGUGUUGGUUUUUUUUAUUUGGCUUCAUAGAAUGUUCACCUCUCACACAUGUGUUACCCAACCAUGAACCUUUGAACUAAAUAUUGUAUUGGCCUUUGAAUAACCUUGCAUCUAGUUAACUGUAAUAUCGGCGAAAUUAAAAUAUCUGUCGU